AUUUUCCAGGUUUUUGACACCCGGUAUAAUACGUCAAGGUCGUAUAUGCCAAGCUGUGAAUCCACAAUCCAGUAAAUGCCAUGACAUGUAACACUGCAUAACGCACAGCGAAAGCAAUCCGGGGAAUUUAUACCCAGCCUUAAAAAUAUUCGCCUCCAUAGGUCAUUGGUUCCCAACCGGGGGUCCGCGGCCGCCAAGGGAACCGUGAGGCACAUCUAAGGAGGCCGCGAAGCGCUUGAUAUCUCUAUGGAUGCAGAUUUUUAACUCCUCUGCGUAUUAGGGCCAAGACGUGAAACAAACUAGACUAUGAUAACGAUAUGAGACUGAAAAACGAGGCCUCUUAUUAUAAAAGCUAUGUCUGGUAUUCUUUUAGGGGGCCGCAAAGCUCUCUGUGUUACGCAAAGGGGCCCGCGGAGUUCUUUGUGUUUAUCAAAAGGGCCCGCGGAACCAAAAAAAAAAAGGGAAGCACUUAUAUAGGUAAUGUAUUUUGUUUAUUCUAAUUACAGUCGAAUCCCUUUAUAGCGACAUCGCAAGGGACUGUCGUUAUAGCGAAAUGUCGCAAUAAUACGAAGAAUUUUUGUAUAAUACUGAGAAGCCUUUUAAAUGUCACUAAAGCAAGAUUUGUCGUUAUAUAAAAUGCUUUUUAGAGGGAUUUAGAGCAGAGGGCAUAACGAGACUGAAAUACAGUCAAACCUGUUUUUGUGCGACUCUUUUUUGUGCGAAAUUUAUUUUGUGCGACUUUUUUAUUCGAUUAUUUUUUUGUGCGAAUUUUUUUGUGCGGUAUAUGAAAAAGGACCACUUCCGACAAAAUUUUCAGCCAUUUAAUUUUUCCAAUCCUUGGAAUGAAAUCCAACGCAUUACAGAAGUGUUGCGUCCAAAAAUUACUAUUUGAGCCAGUUUUACGUAGGAAAAGUCACGAACUGCUUACCUACGAAGGAAAGCGGUUGAAAGGAUAAGUAUGUUUGAAAAAGUUUCGUUUAUCAAUCCGAUGUUUUGAAAUUGUUCUCAUAGGUAUUCUACAUCAGAAUCAACAACUUUCGAGUUAUUUUGAACUGAGAAUUUUUUUAUGCGGUCCCUAUCCACCGCAUAAAAAAAGUGUUUUUUUUAAUAAUGUUAUGGAAAAAAUUGUUUUGUAGCUGCACGUGAAGUUCCAAAAAAAAUUUUUUUAUGCGAUUUAUUUUGUGCGGUCCCUAUUCCUCGCACAAAAACAGGUUUGACUGUAUCUAGGUAUUUUUUUUCCUUCAUGUAUAUGUAUCUAGGUAAUGUAAUCUAGGAUAUUUUUAUACGAGCACUACCUGAAAAUCUUCAUUGAUUUGAUUAUAGUCAGGUUUUUUACAAGGUUUUUCUUUGAUACGGAUUUUCGAGUUAAAGCGGUUUUUUACGUAGAUUUUUUAAUUAACGCGGUUUUUUACGCGAUACGAAAUUUUCUUCUACAACUUUACAUUUCUACGGUGUAAUUUUUUUCGGGAAACGGAAAAAAAAUCUACAAACUUUUUGAAACGUUACACCGAUCAGACAAACCGUUCUGGCUCUAAAAAUAUCUGUGAUCAUCAAUACCGUUUUUACAUAGGCCUUUUUCUGCUAAUAAAUGCAUAACAGUCCCAUGUGAAUUUACACCAAUCUUGAGAUAAACAUAAGAAACUUCUUUACAUUACGUGUGCUCUCGAAAAACCACAAGAAAAAGCUAUGUUUGUUGCUAAAAUGAUGAAAAAAAAAAAUUUGGUUAGUCCCACGAUACAAAUAACGCAAAACAGGCUCAGAGCUAAAAUUAAUUUGUAGAAAAACGUAGUAACUUUUAUUAAAACACCAAUUGAAGUGUACUAAUCGGAACAGCAAUAACCUUAUUGCAUAUAAAAGUAUUCUGUCAUAUUUAUUCACCUCGGAUGAACGCAUAAAUUAAAUUGUUGUUUUUUGAUUGAAUCCAUAGAAACGAAAAAAUGCAGUGGUAUACCUGCGUCUAUUGCGUUUUACUCAGUUGUACGUUUUGUCAGUGUGACUCUUAUGCGUUUAUGGGCAUUCAAACAUCAGUCGUGAUUAAAAAAUAUUAGCACAAAAUGAAAAGAUGUCAAGAUGAACAUUGGUGCAAAUUUUCAGCCAGAUUAAAAAUGGUCGAUUAAAAUGGUUGCGCAAUUCUGUACAUUAGUUUUAGCAUAAAAUUUACAAAAACUCUGACACUUGAGAGUUUUAUAUAGGGUAUCGAACGUCUUCGGCAGUUUUUCUGCAGCAAUCUUAUGCCAAAGGGGGCCGAAGAAAACCACUGACGAAGACGUUCGAUACCCUACGCAAAAUGUUAGAUUUAUAAAAUAUGAAAAAAGAAACAAAUAGGCUCUAUCGAAAUAAUUACCACCCAAAAUACAGCUGCUUACUUCAUAGCACCUUGUUCAACAGACAACACUCGUAGACUGUUUUCUUUAUCAAACCAGAAAAAUCAACAGAAACAUCGAUGUCACCCGUAUUAGUUGUAAAUUAAGCAUCCUGGAGAAAAGACUCCUGCCAGCAUCAGUGGGUUUCUUUGUGCCGGGUUGUAGAUAAUUUUCUAGCACCAUGCUGAUUCAUACUGUUCCUCCUGCUGCAGGUUCCACAAAUCACAAUCUUACCCACUAUCUGUAGCCCGCAAGGAUACGUAGGAGUUCGGUCAUCGACGGGUAGCACUAGAACUAGAUUCAUUUUUUAGUCCUGCAGCGGCCAACGAUACACUCUCAAUGCAGUUCCGUAGAAAUUCCAAGACGAUUUGGUCAACCAGCAUUUACGUGUACACAGUGAACCGAAUGUCGGGAGCGCUCAUGCAGUGAAUCGCAUGGUAACGUCGUUGGAGGGCCGAACGAUGUGUUUCUAUCGGAAAAACAGCAGCACGCCAACCCUGGCACCCUGACGUUUUGGCGACUGACACAACCUUCUUCUAAGGGGCUAACCUUCCGGAACAGAUGUUUUAAUUUAUUCAUUUAGAGGAACGGAAAGAAGUCAUCGUCGCCUCAGAGAUGCUGGGUCGAGGUACGAGGUGGAAUGGAUAUGCAAGGAAGGAAAAGGACGACUGUCAACCAGCAUCAGCUGAAGCAAGACUCACCUCGUUUGGCGUGCUGAUUCCGUUGACUGCUAGCGUGAAAUAUCACACACGCAUCCUCCCAGUGGGGGUGAGUUUUUGUGC